rnacentral:rRNA from 1 species
UACGAAGGGGGCUAGCGUUGUUCGGAAUUACUGGGCGUAAAGCGCACGUAGGCGGACAUUUAAGUCAGGGGUGAAAUCCCAGAGCUCAACUCUGGAACUGCCUUUGAUACUGGGUGUCUUGAGUAUGGAAGAGGUGAGUGGAAUUCCGAGUGUAGAGGUGAAAUUCGUAGAUAUUCGGAGGAACACCAGUGGCGAAGGCGGCUCACUGGUCCAUUACUGACGCUGAGGUACGAAGGCUUGGGUAUCGAUCGGG